rnacentral:rRNA from 1 species
GGUUAAGCGACUAAGCGUACACGGUGGAUGCCCUGGCAGUCAGAGGCGAUGAAGGACGUGCUAAUCUGCGAUAAGCGUCGGUAAGGUGAUAUGAACCGUUAUAACCGGCGAUUUCCGAAUGGGGAAACCCAGUGUGAUUCGUCACACUAUCAUUAACUGAAUCCAUAGGUUAAUGAGGCGAACCGGGGGAACUGAAACAUCUAAGUACCCCGAGGAAAAGAAAUCAACCGAGAUUCCCCCAGUAGCGGCGAGCGAACGGGGAGCAGCCCAGAGCCUGAAUCAGUGUGUGUGUUAGUGGAAGCGUCUGGAAAGGCGCGCGAUACAGGGUGACAGCCCCGUACACAAAAAUGCACAUACUGUGAGCUCGAUGAGUAGGGCGGGACACGUGGUAUCCUGUCUGAAUAUGGGGGGACCAUCCUCCAAGGCUAAAUACUCCUGACUGACCGAUAGUGAACCAGUACCGUGAGGGAAAGGCGAAAAGAACCCCGGCGAGGGGAGUGAAAAAGAACCUGAAACCGUGUACGUACAAGCAGUGGGAGCACAGAGCAAUCUGUGUGACUGCGUACCUUUUGUAUAAUGGGUCAGCGACUUAUAUUCUGUAGCAAGGUUAACCGAAUAGGGGAGCCGAAGGGAAACCGAGUCUUAACUGGGCGUUAAGUUGCAGGGUAUAGACCCGAAACCCGGUGAUCUAGCCAUGGGCAGGUUGAAGGUUGGGUAACACUAACUGGAGGACCGAACCGACUAAUGUUGAAAAAUUAGCGGAUGACUUGUGGCUGGGGGUGAAAGGCCAAUCAAACCGGGAGAUAGCUGGUUCUCCCCGAAAGCUAUUUAGGUAGCGCCUCGUGAAUUCAUCUCCGGGGGUAGAGCACUGUUUCGGCAAGGGGGUCAUCCCGACUUACCAACCCGAUGCAAACUGCGAAUACCGGAGAAUGUUAUCACGGGAGACACACGGCGGGUGCUAACGUCCGUCGUGAAGAGGGAAACAACCCAGACCGCCAGCUAAGGUCCCAAAGUCAUGGUUAAGUGGGAAACGAUGUGGGAAGGCCCAGACAGCCAGGAUGUUGGCUUAGAAGCAGCCAUCAUUUAAAGAAAGCGUAAUAGCUCACUGGUCGAGUCGGCCUGCGCGGAAGAUGUAACGGGGCUAAACCAUGCACCGAAGCUGCGGCAGCGACGCUUAUGCGUUGUUGGGUAGGGGAGCGUUCUGUAAGCCUGUGAAGGUGUACUGUGAGGUAUGCUGGAGGUAUCAGAAGUGCGAAUGCUGACAUAAGUAACGAUAAAGCGGGUGAAAAGCCCGCUCGCCGGAAGACCAAGGGUUCCUGUCCAACGUUAAUCGGGGCAGGGUGAGUCGACCCCUAAGGCGAGGCCGAAAGGCGUAGUCGAUGGGAAACAGGUUAAUAUUCCUGUACUUGGUGUUACUGCGAAGGGGGGACGGAGAAGGCUAUGUUGGCCGGGCGACGGUUGUCCCGGUUUAAGCGUGUAGGCUGGUUUUCCAGGCAAAUCCGGAAAAUCAAGGCUGAGGCGUGAUGACGAGGCACUACGGUGCUGAAGCAACAAAUGCCCUGCUUCCAGGAAAAGCCUCUAAGCAUCAGGUAACAUCAAAUCGUACCCCAAACCGACACAGGUGGUCAGGUAGAGAAUACCAAGGCGCUUGAGAGAACUCGGGUGAAGGAACUAGGCAAAAUGGUGCCGUAACUUCGGGAGAAGGCACGCUGAUAUGUAGGUGAAGUCCCUCGCGGAUGGAGCUGAAAUCAGUCGAAGAUACCAGCUGGCUGCAACUGUUUAUUAAAAACACAGCACUGUGCAAACACGAAAGUGGACGUAUACGGUGUGACGCCUGCCCGGUGCCGGAAGGUUAAUUGAUGGGGUCAGCGCAAGCGAAGCUCUUGAUCGAAGCCCCGGUAAACGGCGGCCGUAACUAUAACGGUCCUAAGGUAGCGAAAUUCCUUGUCGGGUAAGUUCCGACCUGCACGAAUGGCGUAAUGAUGGCCAGGCUGUCUCCACCCGAGACUCAGUGAAAUUGAACUCGCUGUGAAGAUGCAGUGUACCCGCGGCAAGACGGAAAGACCCCGUGAACCUUUACUAUAGCUUGACACUGAACAUUGAGCCUUGAUGUGUAGGAUAGGUGGGAGGCUUUGAAGUGUGGACGCCAGUCUGCAUGGAGCCGACCUUGAAAUACCACCCUUUAAUGUUUGAUGUUCUAACGUUGACCCGUAAUCCGGGUUGCGGACAGUGUCUGGUGGGUAGUUUGACUGGGGCGGUCUCCUCCUAAAGAGUAACGGAGGAGCACGAAGGUUGGCUAAUCCUGGUCGGACAUCAGGAGGUUAGUGCAAUGGCAUAAGCCAGCUUGACUGCGAGCGUGACGGCGCGAGCAGGUGCGAAAGCAGGUCAUAGUGAUCCGGUGGUUCUGAAUGGAAGGGCCAUCGCUCAACGGAUAAAAGGUACUCCGGGGAUAACAGGCUGAUACCGCCCAAGAGUUCAUAUCGACGGCGGUGUUUGGCACCUCGAUGUCGGCUCAUCACAUCCUGGGGCUGAAGUAGGUCCCAAGGGUAUGGCUGUUCGCCAUUUAAAGUGGUACGCGAGCUGGGUUUAGAACGUCGUGAGACAGUUCGGUCCCUAUCUGCCGUGGGCGCUGGAGAACUGAGGGGGGCUGCUCCUAGUACGAGAGGACCGGAGUGGACGCAUCACUGGUGUUCGGGUUGUCAUGCCAAUGGCACUGCCCGGUAGCUAAAUGCGGAAGAGAUAAGUGCUGAAAGCAUCUAAGCACGAAACUUGCCCCGAGAUGAGUUCUCCCUGACUCCUUGAGAGUCCUGAAGGAACGUUGAAGACGACGACGUUGAUAGGCCGGAUGUGUAAGCGCAGCGAUGCGUUGAGCUAACCGGUACUAAUGAACCGUGAGGCUUAACCUU